rnacentral:rRNA from 1 species
GACGAACGCUGGCGGCGUGCCUAAUACAUGCAAGUCGAACGAGAGCGACCGGUGCUUGCACUGGUCAAUCUAGUGGCGAACGGGUGAGUAACACGUGGGUAACCUGCUCAUCAGAGGGGGAUAACAUCCGGAAACGGAUGCUAAAACCGCAUAGGUCUUCGAGCCGCAUGGCUUGAAGAGGAAAAGAGGCGCAAGCUUCUGCUGAUGGAAGGACCCGCGGUGCAUUAGCUAGUUGGUGAGGUAACGGCUCACCAAGGCCGUGAUGCAUAGCCGACCUGAGAGGGUGAUCGGCCACAUUGGGACUGAGACACGGCCCAAACUCCUACGGGAGGCAGCAGUAGGGAAUCUUCCGCAAUGGACGCAAGUCUGACGGAGCAACGCCGCGUGAGUGAAGAAGGUUUUCGGAUCGUAAAACUCUGUUGUUAGAGAAGAACAAGUGCUAGAGUAACUGUUAGCGCCUUGACGGUAUCUAACCAGAAAGCCACGGCUAACUACGUG